GACGAACGCUGGCGGCGUGCUUAACACAUGCAAGUCGAACAGAAAGGCCCUGCUUUUGUGGGGUGCUCGAGUGGCGAACGGGUGAGUAACACGUGAGUAACCUGCCCUUGACUUUGGGAUAACUUCAGGAAACUGGGGCUAAUACCGGAUAGGAGCUCCUGCUGCAUGGUGGGGGUUGGAAAGUUUCGGCGGUUGGGGAUGGACUCGCGGCUUAUCAGCUUGUUGGUGGGGUAGUGGCUUACCAAGGCUUUGACGGGUAGCCGGCCUGAGAGGGUGAACGGCCACAUUAGGACUGAGAUACGGCCCAGACUACUACGGGAGGCAGCAGUGGGGAAUAUUGCACAACGGGCGGGAGCCUGAUGCAGAAACGCCGCGUGCGGGAUGACGGCCUUCGGGUUGUAAACCGCUUUCGCCUGUGACGAAGCGUGAGUGACGGUAAUGGGUAAAGAAGCACCGGCUAACUACGUG
rnacentral:rRNA from 1 species